rnacentral:rRNA from 1 species
CAGUAGCCGCGGGAAUACGAAGGGGGCAAGCGUUGUCCGGAAUUAUUGGGCGUAAAGGGCUCGCAGGCGGUUUCUUAAGUCUGAUGUGAAAGCCCCCGGCUCAACCGGGGAGGGUCAUUGGAAACUGGGAAACUCGAGUGCAGAAGAGGAGAGUGGAAUUCCACGUGUAGCGGUGAAAUGCGUAGAGAUGUGGAGGAACACCAGUGGCGAAGGCGACUCUCUGGUCUGUAACUGACGCUGAGGAGCGAAAGCGUUGGGAGCGAACAGGAUUAGAUACCCCGGUAGUCCCUGUCUCUUAUAC